GGGCCUGUAGCUCAGCUGGGAGAGCGCCACAUUCGCAUUGUGGAGGUCGCGAGUUCAAUUCUCGCCAGGUCCA
rnacentral:tRNA from 2 species